rnacentral:rRNA from 1 species
UACAGAGGUGGCAAGCGUUGUUCGGAAUUACUGGGCGUAAAGGGCGCGUAGGCGGCCGCCUAAGUCAGACGUGAAAUCCCCAGGCUUAACUUGGGAACUGCGUCUGAUACUGGGUGGCUUGAGUUCGGGAGAGGAAUGUGGAAUUCCAGGUGUAGCGGUGAAAUGCGUAGAUAUCGGGAGGAACACCAGUGGCGAAGGCGACUACCUGGCCUGUUCUUGACGCUGAGGCGCGAAAGCUAGGGGAGCAAACGGG